rnacentral:lncRNA from 1 species
GGUCCCCGCCCCUCGUCCGUCACGACCGCAUGCCUUAACCCCUUGAAGGGACUGACACAGAAACUCAGUCCUCCCCCCACCCUCGGUGCAUUCCAGCUCUCCCUGCGUAACUCCUGGCACGCGCCGGUCUCGCCAGGCCAAUGGGUGGACCUGGCGCAACAGACGUCACGAGAGGAGCGGAGGCGAGGGGUGAACGCGGAGCACUCCAAUCGCUCCCAACUAGAGGUCCACCCAGGACCCAGAGACCUGGAUUUGAGGCUGCUGGGCGGCAGAUGGAGCGAUCAGAAGACCAGGGUAAGGGUGUGGCAGAUACUGCCACUAACACUUCUCAGCCUUUCCUUCUCCUGCCUUUUCCACCCCACCCUGUGUUUGUCUACUCCCAGCCAGGUGUACCUUUCCAGGGGAAGACCUGGCCAACCUGUCCAGCUCAAUUAUCCAGCAGUUCUUUGACCUCACUGAGAUCUCGAGUCCAUUGUUCAUCACCUCAGCUAUUGACCUGUGUCAUUAGCCUUAUAGAGUUCAGUGCCACGGAAACUCCCUGCCCUGUUCUUUUUCUUUUUCUUUUUUUUUUUUUUUUUGAGACAGAGCCUUGCUCUGUCGCCCAGGCUGGAGUGCAGUGGCGCGAUCUCGGCUCACUGCAAGCUCUGCCUCCCAGGUUCACACCAUUCUCCUGACUCAGCCUCCCGAGUAGCUGGGACUACAGGCGUCCACCACCAUGCCCAGCUAAUUUUUUUUUUUGUAUUUUUAGUAGAGACGGCGUUUCACCGUGUUAGCCAGGCUGGUCUCGAUCUCCUGACCUUGUGAUGCUCCCGCCUCGGCCUCCCAAAGUGCUGGGAUUACAGGCAUGAGCCAUUGUGCCCGGCCUGCCCUGUUCUUCUUAGACAAACUUGCUGGGCUAAAAUCUAACCCCGUUAAAAUAGACUAUUUACGUAUUGUUUGCCUCUAGCGCAGCAGAACAUUGCUGGAGAAAAACAAACAACCGUGCUAAUUGGUCUCAUUUUAUAUUCAUGACCACAAGCCUCAGUAUUAUAUCGGAGGGCCUAUCCAGUGCAGUAGGGCAAGAAAAAUAAUAAGUUAUGAAGAUUGGAAGGGAAAAAAAACUAAUUCACAAGCAGUAGGAUUGUAUAUGUAAAAAUUUCAAAGGAACCUAUAGGUAAGUUGUUAGAAUGAGUUCAGCAAAGUUGUUGGACACAAGAUCAAUAUAUAAAAAUCAGUUGCAAUUUCUAUAUGUCACCAACAGUUAGAAAAUAAAUUUCUUGCCUGGGCAUGUUGGCUCAAGCCUGUAAUCCCAGCACUUUGGGUGGCCAAGGCGGGCAGAUCACCUGAGGUCAGGAGUUUGAGACCAGUUUGGCCAACAUGGUGAAAUCCCGUCUCUACUAAAAAUACAGAAAUUAGCCGGGCGUGGUGGUGGGCACCUGUAGUCCCAGCUACUGAGGAGGCUGAGGCAGGAGAAUCACUUGAACCUGGGAGGCAGAGGUUGCAGUGAACGAGAAAAAAAAAUUUUUUUUCUUAAAAACAAUGAUGUUUACAAUAGCAUCAAGUAAUAUCAAAUGCUGAGGAAUAAACCUAAUGAAAGAUGUGCAAAGACUACAUACACACAUACAAAAAAACUAUAAAACAUUAUUGAGGGAAAUAAAGACAUAGGCCUGGCAUUGGUGGCUCAUGCCUGAAAUCUCAGCACUUUGGAGGGCCAAGGUGGGUGGAUCAUUUGAGGUCAGGAGUUAGAGAUCAGUCCGGCCA